AAUAGAUACCCGGGUAGUCCACGCCCUAAACGAUGCGAACUGGAUGUUGGGUUCAACUUGGAACCCAGUAUCGAAGCUAACGCGUUAAGUUCGCCGCCUGGGGAGUACGGUCGCAAGACUGAAACUCAAAGGAAUUGACGGGGGGCCCGCACAAGCGGUGGAGUAUGUGGUUUAAUUCGAUGCAACGCGAAGAACCUUACCUGGUCUUGACAUCCACGGAACUUUCCAGAGAUGGAUUGGUGCCUUCGGGAACCGUGAGACAGGUGCUGCAUGGCUGUCGUCAGCUCGUGUCGUGAGAUGUUGGGUUAAGUCCCGCAACGAGCGCAACCCUUGUCCUUAGUUGCCAGCACGUAAUGGUGGGAACUCUAAGGAGACCGCCGGUGACAAACCGGAGGAAGGUGGGGAUGACGUCAAGUCAUCAUGGCCCCUUACGACCAGGGCUACACACGUACUACAAUGGUGGGGACAGAGGGCCGCAAUCCCGCGAGGGUGAGCCAAUCCCAGAAACCCCAUCUCAGUCCGGAUCGGAGUCUGCAACUCGACUCCGUG
rnacentral:rRNA from 1 species